UCCGAAACUAAUAUUUUGGGGUGAUGACGGUACCCUGAAGAAUAAGCAACCGGCUAAACUACGUUGCCAGCAGCCCGCGGUAAAUACGUAGGGUGCAAGCGUUAAUUCGGAAUUAACUGGGGCGUAAAAGCGUGCGCAGGCGGUUUCUAUAAAGACAGAUGUGAAAUCCCCGGGCUCAACCUGGGAACUGCAUUUGUGACUGUAGAGCUGGAGUGCGGCAGAGGGGGAUGGAAUUCCGCGUGUAGCAGUGAAAUGCGUAGAUAUGCGGAGGAACACCGAUGGCGAAGGCAAUCCCCUGGGCCUGCACUGACGCUCAUGCACGAAAGCGUGGGGAGCAAACAUGAUUAGAUACCCUGGUAGUCCACGCCCUAAACGACGUCAACUCAAUUUUGGGAAGGUUCCUUCUCAGUAACGUAGCUAACGCGUGAAGUUGACCGCCUGGGGAGAACAGCCGCAAGGUUGAAACUCAAAGGAAUUGACGGGGACCCGCACAAGCGGUGGAUGAUGUGGUUUAAUUCGAUGCAACGCGAAAAACCUUACCUACCCUUGACAUGUCAAGAAUUUCGCAGAGAUGUGGAAGUGCUCGAAAGAGAACUUGAACACAGGUGCUGCAUGGCCGUCGUCAGCUCGUGUCGUGAGAUGUUGGGUUAAGUCCCGCAACGAGCGCAACCCUUGUCAUUAGU
rnacentral:rRNA from 1 species